rnacentral:rRNA from 1 species
CCUACGGGUGGCAGCAGUGAGGAAUAUUGGUCAAUGGGCGUAAGCCUGAACCAGCCAAGUCGCGUGAGGGAUGAAGGCUCUAUGGAUUGUAAACCUCUUUUAUAAGGGAAUAAAGUGCGGGACGUGUGCCGUUUUGUAUGUACCUUAUGAAUAAGGAUCGGCUAACUCCGUGCCAGCAGCCGCGGUAAUACGGAGGGUCCGAGCGUUAUCCGGAUUUAUUGGGUUUAAAGGGAGCGUAGGUGGCCUGUUAAGUCAGCGGUGAAAGUUUGCGGCUCAACCGUAGAAUUGCCGUUGAAACUGGGAGGCUUGAGUAUGUUAGAGGCAGGCGGAAUGCGUGGUGUAGCGGUGAAAUGCUUAGAUAUCACGAAGAACCCCGAUUGCGAAGGCAGCCUGC